CCCUUAGAUGUCCUGGGCCGCACGCGCGCUACACUGAUGCAUUCAACAAGUUCUACCUUGGCCGAGAGGCCUGGGAAAUCUUUCAAAUAUGUAUCGUGAUAGGGAUAGAUUAUUGCAAUUAUUAAUCUUGAACGAGGAAUUCCUAGUAAAUGCAGAUCAUCAUUCUGCGUUGAUUACGUCCCUGCCCUUUGUACACACCGCCCGUCGCACCUACCGAUUGAAUGAUCCGGUGAAGCCUCGGGAUUGUGCCCAGAGAACUUUAUUGUGAUUUGGGUGUGAGAACUUGUCUAAACCUUAUCAUUUAGAGGAAGGUGAAGUCGUAACA
rnacentral:rRNA from 1 species